AAGGCUCGUGUAAUUUGGGGUUAGGUGCCAUAACUGACUCUAUGCCCCGUUUAUCAGCUAACCCAAACAAAUUUUUGCACUCAUAAUAGGAGAAGAAGAAUAUUGGUGGAAGCAAAUCAACAGUGCACACACACGUUUUCCAACUGUAACUGCAAUCUAAUCCUUAAUAAGAUUGUUCUGGAAUGAACCAACUUUAGGGUAAGAUACCAGCAGGCUGAAUUGCAAAUGAGGACAAACAAUGAGCAACUUCACUUUUUUUUUUACCGUUGAAAAAACUGAACAAUUACCCAGACGAUUGGACCGGGAAUCAGACUGAAUAUGAUGCACUGAGAUAUUAAACACAACUAUGAUUAUUAAAAAUAGAAAAACGGACAUACAAUUGCAACAAAUUGUUUACUUAGAUGCAAACUGAAGCAGACACAAAGACUGGCGGAAAAUAAACCUACUCUUUACCAACAAGUGCAAAUUAAAGACGAGAACCGAAUAAAAGUAAUUUCAAUUCCAGUAGGCGAAGUUUGAAUAACUUGAUCGAGCAUAGGAACUAUUAUCUCGUCAAAGAGAGAAAAUUACAUGCAGCAUUCUUACGUUAUCUACGACUUGUAAAACCAAAACCAACGAAGACUAGUACAGUCAAGAAAAAAAAUUAAGAAGGUCAUCGACGACUCGAAAUGUAGCUCCUUCGCCAAUCUCAGCACACCUACCUCCUCCACCAAUAAAAAAUUUGGGAAGCAGCCAAACAGAGACAUUCCCAGAGAAUAUUAAAAUGCAGAAGGCUUCGAAAGCAAUCGUAACAUACAGCGAACAAGGAUACUUAGAAACCACGAAAACGUUUGAUAGCGGAAUAUGAAACGCUAUUCCACGAGACUGGAACCAUAACUGAAGUGUGAGAAGGACGAAAACUUUCCCCGAUAAAACGUUUGGAUUACAUAAAGAUGACAUGAAAGCAGUGGAUUCCUCGAAAGAGAAGAUAACAAAUUAGGGGGAAGUUACCUUAGUGAAGAAAAGAGUUUGAUCCUGGAAGAAAUAGAGCAGCCAUGAAAUGCUUUUGUGAAUAAAUUGAAAUGACACUCUUCAGUAUUACCGUACUAGUAGAGAGACAGACGUCUUUAUUGUUAUAAAAGCCGAAGAGCUCGGGAGGGGUGUCUAUUUGAAAGGGUGGCGUGGUCAGGACAGUUGAAACGACGUCGUGCUCGUACUUCAUUGAUGGAGAUUCUUUGUACUAGUGUAAUUUAGUUCUGGAAUUUAAGUUGCUUAUAUUUUUUUUAAAAAAAAUGUUAAAACAAUUUUACAGGUUUUAAU
rnacentral:lncRNA from 1 species